CCACCGACACCGCCAUGCAGCCAAUGAUGUCGGCAUGUGGUGAAAAAAGGGCCCAAGUGAAAGGUCGACCAAGCUAUAAAAAUUCAGUGAGAGGAAUUUUUGUGCUCACAGCUCACACCAUGGCGUUCGUUGCCUCUGUUCUUACUUUAUUAUUUUGUUUUUCCCUUUGUCGAUUUUUCACGUCGCCUGACAAGAACAAGAAUUGCAAAGAAGAAGUGAAAAGAAAACACAGAACAAAGGAUGAACGCCGGAGAGCACUACUAUAUAAUUUUCCCCCAAAAUAUGAUGGGCAGUGGUGUGCUUGUUUGCAUUGAUCGCAUGGUGGCCAGCACUUCACCACACAUCUGACGGCGACUGUUUUAUCCAUGAGGUGGAGGAUAAGAGAAGCGCAUCUCUGAAAUUCACAGUUUUGAACCUAAAGAGACACAUCUAGAAAAUGAUUGCACGAGUGGUUCCAGUGUCAUGUGCGUCAACAUGGUUGGAGAUUUGGGAUCGGAUGCUGCGCCAAGAGCGAGGGACCGAGGUGCUGAACUAACAGCAGGGGGAGGGUGAUUCUUCAGGUACCAACAUGGCUGUCGACUAGAGAAUUUAGUUAACCGUUUGCUUUACUUGAAGCUCCAAAUUGUAGUUAUUUUAUUCGUUCACUAAUUUGGUAUAAUCCUAAUCUAGGAGGACUAUGAUUGUAUGAUAUGAGAUCCUGACAUUUAGCAAUAAUAAAGGUCUGACACUGAAUGGUU